rnacentral:rRNA from 1 species
AGCGGCGGAUGGGUGAGUAACACGUGGGGAACCUGCCCCUAAGUCUGGGAUACCAUUUGGAAACAGGUGCUAAUACCGGAUAAUAAAGCAGAUCGCAUGAUCAGCUUUUGAAAGGCGGCGUAAGCUGUCGCUAAGGGAUGGCCCCGCGGUGCAUUAGCUAGUUGGUAAGGUAACGGCUUACCAAGGCGACGAUGCAUAGCCGAGUUGAGAGACUGAUCGGCCACAUUGGGACUGAGACACGGCCCAAACUCCUACGGGAGGCAGCAGUAGGGAAUCUUCCACAAUGGACGCAAGUCUGAUGGAGCAACGCCGCGUGAGUGAAGAAGGUUUUCGGAUCGUAAAGCUCUGUUGUUGGUGAAGAAGGAUAGAGGUAGUAACUGGCCUUUAUUUGACGGUAAUCAACCAGAAAGUCACGGCUAACUACGUGCCAGCAGCCGCGGUAAUACGUAGGUGGCAAGCGUUGUCCGGAUUUAUUGGGCGUAAAGCGAGCGCAGGCGGAAAAAUAAGUCUAAUGUGAAAGCCCUCGGCUUAACCGAGGAACUGCAUCGGAAACUGUUUUUCUUGAGUGCAGAAGAGGAGAGUGGAACUCCAUGUGUAGCGGUGGAAUGCGUAGAUAUAUGGAAGAACACCAGUGGCGAAGGCGGCUCUCUGGUCUGCAACUGACGCUGAGGCUCGAAAGCAUGGGUAGCGAACAGGAUUAGAUACCCUGGUAGUCUAUGCCGUAAAACGAUGAGUGCUAAGUGU